UACGGAGGAUCCAAGCGUUAUCCGGAAUCAUUGGGUUUAAAGGGUCCGUAGGCGGGUUUAUAAGUCAGUGGUGAAAGCCCAUCGCUCAACGAUGGAACGGCCAUUGAUACUGUAGAUCUUGAAUUAUUAGGAAGUAACUAGAAUAUGUAGUGUAGCGGUGAAAUGCUUAGAGACUACAUGGAAUACCAAUUGCGAAGGCAGGUUACUACUAAUAUAUUGACGCUGAUGGACGAAAGCGUGGGGAGCGAACAGG
rnacentral:rRNA from 1 species